rfam:Triticum aestivum genome assembly, contig: Triticum_aestivum_CS42_TGACv1_scaffold_394242_5AS
CAAGUACUCCCUCCGUUCGGAAUUACUUGUCACUUGAAUGAAUGUAUCUAUAUGUAUGUUAAUUCUAGAUACAUUAUUUUUAUUCAUUUCGCGACUAGUAAUUCGGGAAGGAGGGAGUAUACU